AAUGUCAGUUGGAACAAUUCUCAUUCAUUUAUUAAGGCUUGCUUCCGCCAAUAGCCCCCACGCCAAUUUUAUUUAUUUAUCAAAAGAAAAAUAUUUGGAUCUCUAUCCUCCAAGCCAUUCACCGCCAUGCUUCUUCCUUAACCGCCAUACUUUCCUAAAUUUCAGCUGUAUUUAAAUACUCAAUUUCCCCAUCAUUCCUCCUCCUUUAAACUCAUACGAUACAAAUUUACCCCAGCUAUUCAAUCAAGCUUAUUUCCCUUGUGUGCAGAGGUGCGGCGCGACUAUGACAUGAAUUUUGAUUGAAUUACUUAAGUUAACUUUCAAGUUGAAGUUGGAGUUCAAGUUCAAGUUAAAUCUUCAGGUUAUUGCAGCUGGAGACGCGUGGAAAGUCGAAUGGCCGCCUCAAGUCAUUUUGAAAAUAGUUGAUUUAAGUAUUUAAAGUUUUACUUAAUAGUUAAAUAUUUUCAUGACAUCUAUAUGUCAUGUUUUGGGACAGGAUGUUGAUUGUCGAUUUUAAAUCAAAGAUAUAUAGUAUUUGAAUAUAUUAUUAAAAA